rnacentral:tRNA from 1 species
AUAUUUUAAGGCUACUGCCUUCUUAAUAUCUUCAAUAUUAUACUUUAAAAAAUAAGCUAUUAAAACA